AGAAUCAACGCUGGCGGCGUGCCUAACACAUGCAAGUCGCACGAGAAAGGGACUUCGGUCCUGAGUAAAGUGGCGCACGGGUGAGUAACACGUGAAUCAUCUACCUCCGAAUGGGGAAUAACUGAGAGAAAUCUUAGCUAAUACCGCAUAAUACCUACGGGUCAAAGCAGCAAUGCGUUUGGAGAGGAGUUCGCGGUCGAUUAGUUAGUUGGCGGGGUAAUGGCCCACCAAGACGAUGAUCGAUAUCCGGUCUGAGAGGGCGCACGGACACACUGGAACUGAAACACGGUCCAGACUCCUACGGGAGGCAGCAGUGGGGAAUUUUGCGCAAUGGGGGAAACCCUGACGCAGCAACGCCGCGUGGAGGAUGAAAUAUCUUGGUAUGUAAACUCCUUUCGAUGGGGAAGAUAAUGACGGUACCCAUAGAAGAAGCCCCGGCUAACUUCGUGCCAGCAGCCGC
rnacentral:rRNA from 1 species